UACGUAGGGGGCAAGCGUUGUCCGGAUUUAUUGGGUGUAAAGAGCGUGUAGGCGGCCAUGUAGGUCCGUUGUGAAAACUCGAGGCUCAACCUCGAGACGCCGAUGGAAACCAUGUGGCUAGAGUCCGGAAGAGGAGAGUGGAAUUCCUGGUGUAGCGGUGAAAUGCGCAGAUAUCAGGAAGAACACCCGUGGCUAAGGCGGCUCUCUAGUACGGUACUGACGCUGAGACGCGAAAGCGUGGGGAGCGAACAGG
rnacentral:rRNA from 1 species